AGACAGAGGAGAGAGAAAGAAAUGGAAUCGCGCGAAACUGGCAGAAAUUGUAAAACAGGAUGCCAACAAAUCAAGAAAAUGAUAUAAUAUUCUUUUCUCUCUCUAUAAAUACCCUCGUUCUCGACUCAAUUGGUUCUUUCUUCGCCACUUUCACUUGCCCGAGAGAGAGAGAGCCAUACAAAAGGUACCACAUUUCUUUUCUUUUCUUUUCUUGUCUUGUCUUUAUAUAUUUUUUAAUUUUUUUAUGUUUUCUUGCUUUAAGAAUAUUCCUCUUUUUUUCUUUAUUGGUUUCGUUGGUAAAUUGUUUGUGAAUCUUUAAUUAUGUUUAAUUAUUAUUGGGAUUAGGAAUUGCUAAUUGUGGAAAAAGAUUAAUGUUUUUUGUGAAAGAUCAAUUUUUUGGUAUUGGUUUGAAUUAUCUUUUUCUGGUAAAAUUUCGUUGACAUUCUUUUGGGGAAGCUGUUAUCUAUUUGUGUAAUGGUAAUUAAUCACAUUGUUUGUUGAUGAGGUGAAAGAGUAGUGACUUCCUCAGGGUGGAUUGGAAGAGAGAAUUAGUCUUUUUUGAACCUCGAAAGGGAGGUCCUCGUGAUUCCACCGGGUUUUUCAUGAAAUAUUAAAGAUCAUUCAUACAUAGCAUAGUCGAGGCUCGCCCACUUCUUAGUUCUUAGAACUAGUGUGCUCUGGAUGGAAGAGUUAACCGGAUAGGUGGGACGGAGUGGAGGAAACAGCUAGAUUCCAGGCGAUCGAGCUCUCUCUUCCAACAAUUUUUUGUCCCAAAAAUCCACAAGAACAUUCUAUGGUCUUGGUAAGAGAGGGAUGAGUUAAGGUUUUACUUGUAAGUUACCACAUUUGUUUAAGGAUUCUUAAAUUUUUUUGGAGUAAAGGAUCAUCAACGAGUCUAUUUUUAGCGUGUUACUCUUAUUCAAGUAUGUUUGAUGAUGCCAUGUGAAUCACCAGAAACAUGUGAAGCAUAUGGUUAAUAACUAUCUAAUAACAGAAGUUUCAUAAUGGGACCAGAGCAAGUUGCCAUGAGACGAAGAUAUUCGUUGUAAAGAGAGUCAAUUUCUUAAAUGUCCAAGGUUCAAUAGAAUUGAGAGGUCUUCCCUGUUUUAAUCCGUCCGCUUUCUAAGUUUUACGAUCAAGUCACUCAUUCUUAUUUGCUUCAUUUGAUAGCUAAUUGCCUUUUUUUUCAUGCUACUUCUCCCAUGUCUUAUUUUGCUUAUACAUUCUAGAGUUGGGAACUCAUAUAGUGAAUGCCUUCGAGUUUCCCAAUUUCUUUAUUCUCUUAUUUAAUUGUUCAGUGAAUUUCUUUUGAGUUUUAUUAAUUCAUCUGCAACUUGUUUUGACUUUUGAAAUCUUCUCAUAUGAAUUUAAAAGCCUUUGCUUUUUUCAAGUCGAGAACACAGGGGAGUGUUAAAGCUUAUACAAUAUAGCUGACGCACCACUUGCUAAAUUAAUGGCAUAAGCCUACAGCCUUUUCAUUUGUAACCUUUUGGGUUUGAGUUGAACGCACGGUACACUACAGAUAUUACUUUUUUCUUUCUAUAUGCAACAUUAGAAUUUCACUCGAAAUAUUAUGUUCUAGGACAACUCAUGCUAAUAUGAAAUACAAGUUGGUGCAUACUCACUUUGAAAGUUGAAUACAGAUGUAACUACAUUUCAAUUUCCAUUUUAGUAAAAGUUUUGCAAAGGUGAUUUUUUCUCUAUUCCAAUUGUCCUUCUUUGCUCUGUUUAUUAAAAGUGAAUCUCUUUUAUGCAGAGCAGUAGUUACAUUAAAAUCCUUCGUCAUAUCUAACCAUACAUAAAGAGACAACCUUAAGAGAUCAUUUGAAGAAACAAGUUGUUGAUAGUUUCCCUUUCAACAGAAAGGGGAUGGUUUUUCAUUCUAGUCACUAUGGAAGUUGAUAUUGGAAUUUCCUGCUGCAACAAGAAUAUAACUUUGGAGAAUCCGACACCAGUUAAUGAAUCGAAAAGGCCAGGAGAAAAUCACAUGAGCACUUCUGUGUUCGUAAAUCAUGGUAAGUCUUGCUUUAAUUAUCUGUGUACAGAAUUGAGCAUAUAAAGAUAAUCAUGACAUGAGAAAGUUAACAUUUUUUAUGUCUACCCUUGCUGCCUUUAUUGGUACACAGAUUGAAAGUUUAUCAAAAUAGAUAACUGAAUUAGAGGUUUUCAAGGAAAAAUUAUGUGUGUGUAAACUAACAAAAGAAAGGAAAAAGUAAGGGGCUAAAUAUUUUAAUGAUUUUAGUCAUAUCCAUGGCUAUUGUACAUUAAAGUAAAUAGCGUGAUUCAUAAUGUGUUGGUCAAAUAUACUUAACAAAGCCUGUUAUCUGGUUACACGACUCUCUUCUUCCACUGCAUUGUUUCAAUUUCCAAAGUUAAACCGUGGAGGUGCAUAUCCUUUUUAAUUACCUAAUUCUGUGCAUUUUAGGUUGACCUCUUCGUCGAAGCAUAUCAUUAAUACCAGUGUGAUUGCUUUUUUGACUGGUGCAUCUGGUGACUUUUGAUGAAUAUAUUCAAACUAUAUCCAGUGUUCCAAUAUAUGCCACUUGAAUUUAUCUUCUGUUAUAUUUAUAGAUGCUUGUGUAAUGUGGAAGGUCACGGGUUCGAAUCUUGCAGCUAACCUGUUCUAAAAAUUUCAUUUGUCAAACUUGAAGACAAAUGGUUGACACAUAAUCCGACUUGUUGAAAAUACACAUAUAAAUAAAGAAAGUUCUC
rnacentral:lncRNA from 1 species